AUAGCCAAUUCGGUUGACAAAACUACUGCAAAAUGAAUAAGUUUAAACCAGCUUCAGUAUGGAUGGUGCUUGGUACCAUACAAGUGUUUGCUGAACUGAUAGAAGUACAACUGUACAUGCUCAUGUGGCCCUCCCCUGCAGAGUGAAGCAUCCAAGCACAUAGAGAAGGAACAGCGGGUUACAGCUACAACCUGUAUCUGCCCGGAUGGCUGCCCAUGAUGUCCACCAUAUCUAGUUCUGGCAAGGUGAAGUAGGCGAACUAUCCGAUGUCCUAAAAGGACAUAGUCACCAGAAACAUGGACAGGAAUCUUGACUUCUUCUUUAGUGGAGUGCUGAUAUUCUGAUGACUGUCUGACACUUGAAGCUGAGACAUAGUGUUGAGGAACACUCCUCUGAGAGUAUGCUGAUGAGAUACACUGUACAAUGCAGAUCAUGUUACCUUGCAGGCUGUCAUCCCUCAGUGUAGUCAUGGUGUUGUGAAUGCAACGCUGGAGCUGUCGUCUCAGCAAAAGAUGUACCCUCCCCUGAUCCUACCAUCCCAUGACAGAGAAGUAAU